AAAGAGGAAAGAAAACUAAUCUAAUGUUCUAAAAUAUGUAAACUAAGUGCUCCUGUUCAGGGUUGCUAAGUAUCUAAUUUACUUUUCUCAACUAGUUCUUACAGGUUUGGACCAAUUCCAACCAGUUAUAAUUGGUUUUGACUGGUUCUCAAAGAUUUUCAUGAUUUCUUGCCAGUUUUAAUCACUUCCAGCUGGUUCUUUUUUACUGUUUCUAACUAGUUCUUGCAGGUUGUGACCGAUUCAAACGGGUUAUAGCUGGUUCUGACUGGUGUUACAACUUUAACUGGUUCCAACUGGUUCUUGCAGGUUUUCACUCAUUCUUUGGCUUUGAUUGCUAUAGGUUUGGAUGAUUUCUGCUGACUGGUAGCUACUGGUUUGACUGGCCCAGAUUGUUUUU